UACGUAGGUGGCAAGCGUUGUCCGGAAUUAUUGGGCGUAAAGCGCGCGCAGGCGGUCCUUUAAGUCUGAUGUGAAAGCCCACGGCUCAACCGUGGAGGGUCAUUGGAAACUGGGGGACUUGAGUGCAGGAGAGAAGAGUGGAAUUCCACGUGUAGCGGUGAAAUGCGUAGAGAUGUGGAGGAACACCAGUGGUGUAGACGGCUCUCUGGACCGCCACUGACGCUGAGACACGAAAGCGUGGGUAGCAAACAGG
rnacentral:rRNA from 1 species